rnacentral:rRNA from 1 species
UACGUAGGGUGCGAGCGUUAAUCGGAAUUACUGGGCGUAAAGCGUGCGCAGGCGGUUCGUUGUGUCGGCGGUGAAAGCCCCGGGCUCAACCUGGGAAUGGCCGUUGAAACUGGCGAACUGGAGUGUGGCAGAGGGGGGUGGAAUUCCGACGUGUAGCAGUGAAAUGCGUAGAGAUGUGGAGGAACACCGAUGGCGAAGGCGGCUUCCUGGACCGAUUACUGAGCUGAGGCGCGAAAGCUAGGGGAGCAAACGGG